rnacentral:lncRNA from 1 species
AAAGAAACUAUGCUUCAAAGUCAAAUCUAAAUGAUGUGGGAUUUUAAGUCUUUUUGGAAAAUGGACUUUAUCUGUGUCUUCUUCCAUUGCAGGUUACAGGUGGGAUCAUGAGUCUGUUCAAGGGGAUCGGCUGUUUUGAGUUGAGGAGAUGGCAGGGCCUAGCGGGUGAAGCCCGAGCAGCCUCAUUUGCAGCCUCAUUCCCAUUGGUCGAUGGGAACUGACUUGCUUUUUGCAGUUUCACUGGACGUUGAAAUCACCAUGGCUGUUUGUUCCACUGCAUCACGCCCCAGCCUCCCAAUUUGUAAUCAGCAGCACUCAGGGUGGAAGACGGAAUCAGUCCCUGCUCACGGUUGUGGAUCAAGAUGUAAGAUGUCAGCUGCAUCUUUACUCUGACUUCAUGGACUCAAAACCUCUGAAACUGCAACUGAAACUAAACUCACUGGAAAAUAAAAUCCAAAAAGACAUGAAAAGGGAAGAGCUGGGCAGAAGGAAGUCACCAGGAGUGGGAAAGGGGAUGAAGGAGGGUAAUGAAGAAUAAAUACGAUCAAAA